rnacentral:rRNA from 1 species
ACGGGUGAGUAAUACAUCGGAACGUGCCCAGUAAUGGGGGAUAACUAUCCGAAAGGAUAGCUAAUACCGCAUACGCCCUGAGGGGGAAAGUGGGGGACCGCAAGGCCUCACGUUAUUGGAGCGGCCGAUGGCCGAUUAGCUAGUUGGUGAGGUAAAGGCUCACCAAGGCGACGAUCAGUAGCGGGUCUUAGAGGACGAUCCGCCACACUGGAACUGAGACACGGUCCAGACUCCUACGGGAGGCUGCAGUGGGGAAUCUUGGACAAUGGGCGCAAGCCUGAUCCAGCAAUGCCGCGUGGGUGAAGAAGGCCUUCGGGUUGUAAAGCCCUUUUGUUUGGGAGCAAAUCCUUGUCGUUAAUACCGGCUGGGGAUGAGAGUACCAAAAGAAUAAGCACCGGCUAACUACGUGCCAGCAGCCGCGGUAAUACGUAGGGUGCAAGCGUUAAUCGGAAUUACUGGGCGUAAAGCGUGCGCAGGUGGUUAUACAAGACCGACGUGAAAUCCCCGGGCUCAACCUGGGAAUGGCGUUGGUGACUGUAUGGCUAGAGUGUGGCAGAGGGGGGUGGAAUUCCACGUGUAGCAGUGAA